rnacentral:rRNA from 1 species
ACGCUCGACACCUACGGGAGGCAGCAGUAGGGAAUCUUCCACAAUGGGCGCAAGCCUGAUGGAGCAGCACCGCGUGAGUGAAGAAGGGUUUCGGCUCGUAAAGCUCUGUUGUUGGAGAAGAACGUGCGUGAGAGUAACUGUUCACGCAGUGACGGUAUCCAACCAGAAAGUCACGGCUAACUACGUACCAGCAGCCGCGGUAAUCUGAGCGGGCUGGCAAGGC